UCCGUAGGCGGUUUAAUAAGUCAGUGGUGAAAGCCCAUCGCUCAACGAUGGAACGGCCAUUGAUACUGUUAAACUUGAAUUAUUAGGAAGUAACUAGAAUAUGUAGUGUAGCGGUGAAAUGCUUAGAGAUUACAUGGAAUACCAAUUGCGAAGGCAGGUUACUACUAAUGUAUUGACGCUGAUGGACGAAAGCGUGGGGAGCGAACAGGAUUAGAUACCCUGGUAGUCCACGCCGUAAACGAUGGAUACUAGCUGUUCGGAGCAAUCUGAGUGGCUAAGCGAAAGUGAUAAGUAUCCCACCUGGGGAGUACGUUCGCAAGAAUGAA
rnacentral:rRNA from 1 species